rnacentral:rRNA from 1 species
UACGUAGGGUGCAAGCGUUGUCCGGAAUUAUUGGGCGUAAAGAGCUUGUAGGCGGUUUGUCGCGUCUGCUGUGAAAUUUCGGGGCUCAACCCCGAACUUGCAGUGGGUACGGGCAGACUAGAGUGUGGUAGGGGAGACUGGAAUUCCUGGUGUAGCGGUGAAAUGCGUAGAUAUCGCUUGGAACGCCGAAGGUGAAAAACAGGUCGCUGGGGAUGUGCCGACGCUGAGACACGAAAGCCAGGGGAGCAAACGGG